rnacentral:rRNA from 1 species
GAUGAACGCUGGCGGCGUGCCUAACACAUGCAAGUCGAACGGAGUCGUUUUGGAAAUCUCUUCGGAGAUGGAAUUCUCGACUUAGUGGCGGACGGGUGAGUAACGCGUGAGCAAUCUGCCUUUAAGAGGGGGAUAACAGUCGGAAACGGCUGCUAAUACCGCAUAAAGCAUUAAAUUCGCAUGUUUUUGAUGCCAAAGGAGCAAUCCGCUUUUAGAUGAGCUCGCGUCUGAUUAGCUAGUUGGCGGGGUAACGGCCCACCAAGGCGACGAUCAGUAGCCGGACUGAGAGGUUGAACGGCCACAUUGGGACUGAGACACGGCCCAGACUCCUACGGGAGGCAGCAGUGGGGAAUAUUGCGCAAUGGGGGAAACACUGACGCAGCAACGCCGCGUGAUGGAAGAAGGCCUUCGGGUUGUAAAGAUCUUUAAUCAGGGACGAAACAAAUGACGGUACCUGAAGAAUAAGCUCCGGCUAACUACGUG